rnacentral:lncRNA from 1 species
GUAAUGGCAAAAAGUAUUAUAAAACUCUUUCAUUUGUUGAUAAAAUAUUGGUGAGGUUGAUGCUGCUACUAAAAACGAACAUUCUGGUGAUCCAGGUGAGGGAUGCUCCUCGGUGGUGGUCUUAGGUCUAAACAUCUCUGACACUGUCUCCAGGGAUUGCCCAGGAAAUCCACGACAAGACAAGGCCACCUCUGCCUUCAAGGUGGAGUGGGGAGCAGUGGUCCCAUUUACCAAAUCCCAAACUGGGUAAUGGAUUCUUUGAUGACAUUUUCAAUGUGAAAAGAAAGCUGGGAGAUGGAGUUUGUGCACUGAUAUGGGAUUCCUGGGACAUUUUGACUGUUCAUAGGGGAACCAAAGAAAAGAUUUUAAAUGGUGAUUUGUUGUCAUAAAGUAUUUGAUUGUUUUCCCUCAGUGGGAUUCUUUGAGGAGUCAGUCCAUCAUUGACAUGAGACAGACUGAAGAACUCUUUGUUGUAUGUUUGGCCUGUCAUUUCUGCAAGUUUUUAAAUGUAUUGGUGGACAAAUGGUGCUUUGCAACUGCCUGGAGAGCUAACUUACCUCAGUAUAAGUUAACCCAUAAACCACUUUUGUCUGAGAUGCUGUCCGUGCACACCAACCUGGUUAGCUGAAAAGCCGGAAAUUAGAAGUGCGCUUGAUUUCCUGAGUCAGCCAACAUUUUGGGUGGUAUUAAAACACAACCUUUCCAUGCAUAUACCAAGUUCCAAAGGUUGUAGUUCUUUUUCUUUCUUCUCUCCUUCCUUUUCCUUUCUUCUCUCCUUCCUUUUCCUUUUCUUUUUUCUUUUAAUAAUCAGGUCUUCUAGUGCCUGAAUUCUAUUAUUAGGAAAUAUAUACAAGCAUCUAUUUCUCUCUCUCUCUCUCUCUCUCUCUCUCUCUGAAAACUGUGCCACUUAGGGCUAUUUAUCUCUUUUUAUUUAUUUGUAUAUUUGGUGGAAAUGGCUAAUAUGAUUUCCUCAUUAUUCUGGUUUUCCUGUGUUAUACUUUGGAGAAGACCUAUUAGCACUAAGCUAUUGGUAUAUAAGCUAUUUAAUAUGCAAAUAACCCAGAAGUUUGGGGCAAUAAGUUGUACAGUAUUAAAGAUUUAUGGAGGUAGUCAAGAUAAUAUUUUCUGCCAUCAGGCAUUCAGAGGUAAGACUACAGACGCGUAGGAAUGUUAAUUCAUUUUAAGAAAGAUACACAACUUCAGUUUUCCUUCUAGAAUGGGUAGAAUUAUUCAAGCCCGGUUACCAUUUGCUUGCGUACGUUUAAUAGAUGAUGCUCAAAUGUGUAGGGUCUGGGUUGUUUUUGUGCAAAAGGAUUAAUUGCCACUUAUUUUAAUUUGUUCUAUUUUGGUUUAAAAGAAAGAUUCUCCCAAGAGGGCCAAGAAAGAAGGUGGUUCUUGGCCCCAGUAUUCUGUUGAUAGAUGAGAGAAGCAGUUUGCUCACUUUCUCUUCCAAAGAUUGUUCUGCGGUUUAAGGCUGAGUCUUAUCUGGCCAAGUUAAAACAUAGACCUCAUAUUUAACAGCCUUCUACUUACACUGGCUUUCAGUUUUCCCAGUACUUAAAAACCAUUUUAAUGAUCAUUUCCAAAAGGAUACAAAUAUUGUGGCUGUUGAACUAUGUUAAAUGAUUGCAAUAGAGAAAGUUCUAAGACCCUCGAAAGGUAAAACAUUGUACCAUUUGAAGACAGUUUCUGUGUAUACAGUAUGGGUAGGAUUAUGAUGAAAACAGACGGAGCCUUCACUUUCCCAUAAAAUAACACUUGUGAUCAAGGCUGAGCCAUUUAGGACUCUGAAUGAGACAGAAAGCCCCAGCCUCAGGUCACACACAUUUCAUAGUCUCACACAGCUUCUAAGUUAAACCAAAAGGCUCACAAUUAAAACUUCAGAAUUUUACGUAAGCUGGACCAAGAGGACUGUUCUUAAACUUGCUCUCCCAAACCAUUCAUUUAUUUAUGUGUUUAAUAAACAUCUUCCAAAUACCUGUGGGAUUCAGAAACCCUGUGCUAGAUGUAAGGAUACAGAAAGAACAUUAUUCCUCCACCCGCAAGUAAAUACAAAGAUAAACAACUACCACUCCC